rnacentral:rRNA from 1 species
UUUAAUUCGAAGCAACGCGAAGAACCUUACCUAAGCUUGACAUCCCAAUGACAUCUCCUUAAUCGGAGAGUUCCCUUCGGGGACAUUGGUGACAGGUGGUGCAUGGUUGUCGUCAGCUCGUGUCGUGAGAUGUUGGGUUAAGUCCCGCAACGAGCGCAACCCUUGUCUUUAGUUGCCAUCAUUAAGUUGGGCACUCUAGAGA